rnacentral:rRNA from 1 species
UACGUAGGGUGCGAGCGUUGUCCGGAAUUAUUGGGCGUAAAGAGCUCGUAGGCGGUUUGUCGCGUCUGCUGUGAAAACUCAGGGCUUAACCCUGAGCCUGCAGUGGGUACGGGCAGACUAGAGUGUGGUAGGGGAGAUCGGAAUUCCUGGUGUAGCGGUGGAAUGCGCAGAUAUCAGGAGGAACACCGGUGGCGAAGGCGGAUCUCUGGGCCAUAACUGACGCUGAGGAGCGAAAGCGUGGGGAGCGAGCAGG